rnacentral:rRNA from 1 species
GACGAACGCUGGCGGCGUGCCUAAUACAUGCAAGUUGAGCGCUGAAGGUUGGUACUUGUACCAACUGGAUGAGCAGCGAACGGGUGAGUAACGCGUGGGGAAUCUGCCUUUGAGCGGGGGACAACAUUUGGAAACGAAUGCUAAUACCGCAUAAAAACUUUAAACACAAGUUUUAAGUUUGAAAGAUGCAAUUGCAUCACUCAAAGAUGAUCCCGCGUUGUAUUAGCUAGUUGGUGAGGUAAAGGCUCACCAAGGCGAUGAUACAUAGCCGACCUGAGAGGGUGAGAGGCCACAUUGGGACUGAGACACGGCCCAAACUCCUACGGGAGGCAGAAGAAGGGAAUAUUCGGCAAUGGAGGAAAGUAUGACAGAGAAACGCCGCGUGAGUGAAGAAGGUUGUCGGAUCGUAAAAAUCUGUUGGAAGAGAAGAAAGUUGGUGAGAGUGGAAAGCUCAUCAAGUGACGGUAACUACCCAGAAAGGGACGGCUAACUAAGUG